rnacentral:rRNA from 1 species
CCCUUAGAUGUUCUGGGCCGCACGCGCGCUACACUGACGAAUGCAACGAGCUUAUAACCUUGGCCGAAAGGUCUGGGUAAUCUCCAAAUUUCGUCGUGAUGGGGAUAGAUUAUUGCAAUUAUUAAUCUUCAACGAGGAAUGCCUAGUAAGCGCAAGUCAUCAGCUUGCGUUGAUUACGUCCCUGCCCUUUGUACACACCGCCCGUCGCUCCUACCGAUUGGACGUUUUAGUGAGGAUUUUGGACUGAGCCAAUGGUGGUUCACACCACUGUUGUGCAUGGAAAGAUCUCCAAACUUGAGCGUUUAGAGGAAGUAAAAGUCGUAACA